AUAUCCCUGGGUUGUGCGUGAUUGGGAUCAUAUAUAGAACCAACACUAUUGUGUCGGGAGUCGAUAGAUUCCCACCUGGAGCUAGGGUUCUCCGAGAAGGUUCCACACGGCAACUUGGGGAUUUU
rnacentral:other from 1 species